CAUGCAGUCGACGGAAGGCCCUUCUGCGUACUCGAGUGGCGAACGGGUGAGUAACACGUGGGUGAUCUGCCCUGCACUUUGGGAUAAGCCUGGAAACUGGGUCUAAUACCGAAUACACCCUUCUGGCUGCAUGGUCUGGGAGGGGAAAGCUUUUGCGGUGUGGGAUGGGCCCGCGGCCUAUCAGCUUGUUGGUGAGGUUACGGCUCACCAAGGCGACGACGGGUAGCCGGCCUGAGAGGGUGACCGGCCACACUGGGACUGAGAUACAGCCCAGACUCCUACUGGUAGGCAGCAGUGGGGAAUAUUGCACAAUGGGCGCAAGCCUGAUGCAGCGACGCCGCUUGAGGGAUGACGGCCUUCGGGUUGUAACCUCUUUCGCCAGGGACGAAGCGCAUGUGACGGUACCUGGAGAAGAAGGACCGGCCAACUACAUGCCAGCAGCCGCGGUAAUACGUAGGGUCCGAGCGUUGUCCGGAAUUACUGGGCGUAAAGAGCUCGUAGGUGGUUUGUCGCGUUGUUCGUGAAAACUCACAGCUCAACUGUGGGCGUGCGGGCUCAUACGGGCAGACUGGAGUACUGCAGGGGAGACUGGAAUUCCUGGUGUAGCGGUGGAAGGCGCAGAUAUCAGGAGGAACACCGGUGGCGAAGGCGGAUCUCUGGGCAGUAACUGACGCUGAGGAGCGAAACGUGGGGAGCGACCAGGAUUAGAUACCCUGGUAGUCCACGCCGUAAACGGUGGGUACUAGGUGUGGGUUUCCUUCCUUGGGAUCCGUGCCGUAGCUAACGCAUUAAGUACCCGCCUGGGGAGUACGGCCGCAAGGCUAAACUCAAAGAAAUUGAC
rnacentral:rRNA from 1 species